rnacentral:snoRNA from 1 species
AGCUUCCUAGUGCUUACCACAUCCUGUGUUCCUACAGUCACUCUAUAGAAAGAGAAGGUAAAGCCCAGCUCCUGUGCCUGCUCUGUAUUGUAAUUGGGAGACAUGG